AGUUACUCAUAGGAUAUGAAAGUGGGACAAUUGUACUUUGGGACUUGAAAUCUAAAAGAGCCGAGAUCCGCUUUUACUAUGACGAGGCAAUUCAUUCCAUAGGCUGGCACCAUGAAGGCCGUCAGUUCAUGUGCAGUCACUCGGAUGGCAGCCUUACUCUAUGGAAUCUAAAGAACCCUGCCAGGCCCUUUCAAGUCACUAUUCCCCAUGG